rnacentral:rRNA from 1 species
AUGACCUGGUCAGGCAAUGGGUGGCUGAAGGGUUUUUUUGCUGCAAGUGAAGGGCAAAACAUGGAGGAAGUUGCAGUAAUGUAUUUCGAUGAGCUUGUUGACAGAAGAUUCAUUCAACCUGUGUCUAUCAAUUUCAACAAUGAGGUGGUGUCCUGCCCAGUUCAUGCCAUGGUGCAUGAUCUUAUUGCCCACAAGUCUGCUGAAGAGAAUUUCCUUGUGGUAGUAGAUCACAAUCGAAAGAAUUUGGCACUUUCUCAUAAGGUCCGUCGACUAUCUCUCCAACUUGGUGAUGCAAAAUAUGCCAAGAUACCAGCAAACAUCAGAAAGUCACAAGUACGUUCACUUGGAGUUUUUGGAUUAUUAGAGUGCAUGCCUUGCAUUGGAGAGUUCAAGCUUGUUCGUGUUCUGAACCUUCAUCUGUCUGGCCAUCAUAAUGGCGACCAAGAACUGGCUGUGGACCUCACUAGGAUAUCUGGACUGUUCCAUCUUAUAUAUCUAAAGAUUGUAUGUGAUGUCUGCAUAAGACUUCCAAACCGUAUGAGAGGGCUGAAGUGCUUGGAAACAUUGGAUGUUAUGGAUACACCAACUGGCACUUAUGUUCCAUGGGACAUUAUAUAUCUCCCACGCUUGUUGCACCUCAGUCUUCCUCCCGAGAGAAAUCUGCUAGAUUGGUCUGUUGGUGAUAAUCUGAGCCUUUGCAAGCCAAACCACCUGCAGGAUCUUUGCAUGUCCACACCGGCUUCUUCAGAUUACGACCAUCUGGACAGAAGCAUGGAAGCUCUGGAUUAUUUAAUGUAUAGACAUGACAGCCUGAAAACUGUAAAACUGGUGGCUCAUGUAUCCUCGGUUAGCUAUGGUGACACUUCUAAAGCAAGAGUACGGUGGAGGUUAGAUAGACCUAACCACCAUAUCCAGAGAUUUGAGGUCUCAGCUUACAGCCCCAUCAUAUUUUGCAGAAUGCAUUUGUGGGAAAUCGAACUUGGCAACCUAUGCAUUCUGAAGAUUGCAGUGGAUGGACUGUCAGUAAAUGAUGUUGGUAUUCUUAGCGGGUUGCCUGCCCUUACUGCUCUGUCGCUGUAUGUGGAGAAGUCACCUGGUAUUAAGAUAAUGUUUUGCACGGGGGCUGGAUUCACAACUCUCAAGUACUUGAAGCUGAGGUUCAUGAGAGGUAUAGCUUGGAUAAAAUUUGAGGCGGACGCAAUGCCUAAUCUCUGGAAGCUCAGGCUCGUUUUCAACGCCAUCCCCCGAAUGGACAAACAGCUUGAUCUUUAUUUGAAGUCUGAGCAGUGGAAACAAUAUCGACAUGGUACUGCAUUAAUCAGCAUCGAGCAUAUGGCAAGCCUUAGAGAGGUCUCCGCAAAAUUCGGGGGUGCAGCUGGUGAUCUGCAGUUUGUCUCGAGGAUCGGCGUAGUUAGUAAUCAUCCGAGCAAUCCUAUAAUUGACGUGCAACUAGUGGAUUCUGGUUCCCAUGGUGAUAAAAGGAUAUCAUCGGAGUCCUCUUUGCGCCUGCAUCCUCCAAGUAUGCUAUUCAACACGAGUUGUAAACUUGUAAUAGAGAUGUUUUGUCAUCAGGUGAUAAAUUUGCUUGUAAGAAUUAGCAAAACGAUGGAUGAAUUGUUGGCUUUUGUCAGGUGCAGAUGGUGGAGAGCAGCAGGAUGUGGUCUCCUGGAGCAAUAUCAUUGGUGUGAUAGGUCGUGA